CAAAAUGUAGCUUAAUAAAAGCAUCUCGCUUACACCGAGAAGAUGCCUGUGAAACCCCGGCCAUCUUGA
rnacentral:tRNA from 1 species